GAUGAACGCUGGCGGCGUGCCUAAUACAUGCAAGUCGAGCGAACAGAUAAGGAGCUUGCUCCUUUGACGUUAGCAGCGGACGGGUGAGUAACACGUGGGUAACCUACCUAUAAGACUGGGAUAACUUCGGGAAACCGGAGCUAAUACCGGAUAACAUUUGGAACCGCAUGGUUCUAAAGUGAAAGAUGGUUUUGCUAUCACUUAUAGAUGGACCCGCGCCGUAUUAGCUAGUUGGUAAGGUAACGGCUUACCAAGGCGACGAUACGUAGCCGACCUGAGAGGGUGAUCGGCCACACUGGAACUGAGACACGGUCCAGACUCCUACGGGAGGCAGCAGUAGGGAAUCUUCCGCAAUGGGCGAAAGCCUGACGGAGCAACGCCGCGUGAGUGAUGAAGGGUUUCGGCUCGUAAAACUCUGUUAUUAGGGAAGAACAAACGUGUAAGUAACUGUGCACGUCUUGACGGUACCUAAUCAGAAAGCCACGGCUAACUACGUG
rnacentral:rRNA from 1 species